rnacentral:rRNA from 1 species
UACGGAGGGUGCAAGCGUUGUUCGGAAUCACUGGGCGUAAAGGGCGCGUAGGCGGCUAUGCAAGUCAUAUGUGAAAGCCCACGGCUUAACCGUGGAAGUGCAUGUGAAACUGCAUGGCUUGAGUAUCGGAGGGGAAAGUGGAAUUCCCGGUGUAGAGGUGAAAUUCGUAGAGAUCGGGAGGAAUACCGGUGGCGAAGGCGACUUUCUGGACGAAUACUGACGCUGAGGCGCGAAAGCGUGGGGAGCAAACAGG